GGAAGGUCCGGGCGUUAUCCGGAUUUAUUGGGUUUAAAGGGAGCGUAGGUGGACAGUUAAGUCAGUUGUGAAAGUUUGCGGCUCAACCGUAAAAUUGCAGUUGAUACUGGCUGUCUUGAGUACAGUAGAGGUGGGCGGAAUUCGUGGUGUAGCGGUGAAAUGCUUAGAUAUCACGAAGAACUCCGAUUGCGAAGGCAGCUCACUGGACUGCAACUGACGCUGAAGCUCGAAAGUGCGGGUAUCGAACAGGAUUAGAUACCCUGGUAGUCCGCACGGUAAACGAUGGAUGCCCGCUGUUGGUCUGAAUAGGUCAGCGGCCAAGCGAAAGCAUUAGGCAUCCCACCUGGGGAGU
rnacentral:rRNA from 1 species